GGAGAAACCUAGGUCAAAUCCAGUGCCAUGUUGGGUCUAGUUGGUCUUAGUCUUAGCUUGGCCCACACCCUGGUUGUGCAGAGUCUUACAGCCUCAAGCUUCUGCAGCUACUUCAACAGUUUUCCUUUUGCUAAUCAGGUUAAACUGCUGCUGGCAAUUUUCUAUUCUCCUGCAACCACCCUGAAUGACCCCUGUCUCAGGGGGACACAGGCACAGGCCCUUACAUGCUUACUCCUGGAAAGGAUGCAAGAAACCUAUGCUCACUUCUCAUAGCCCAAGGGACAUGCAAGUAAAUCUUAACUGCUGCUCACUCUGGGUCUACACUGCUUUUAUGAGCUGUAACACUUACCGCGAAGGUCUGCAGCUUCACUCCUGAAGCCAGCGAGACCACGAGUCCACCGGGAGGAAGAACAACUCCAGACGUGCCGCCUUAAGAGCUGUAACACUCACUGUGAAGGUCCGCAGCUUCACUCCUGAAGCCAGCGAGACCAUGAGUCCACCGUGAGGAAGAACAACUCCAGACGUGCUGCCUUAAGAGCUGUAACACUCACUGUGAAGGUCCGCAGCUUCACUCCUGAGCCAGCGAGACCACGAACCCACCAGAAGGAAGAAACUCCGAACACAUCCGAACAUCAGAAGGAACAAACUCCAGAUGCGCCACCUUAAGAGCUGUAACACUCACCGCGAGGGUCCGCGGCUUCAUUCUUGAAGUCAGUGAGACCAAGAACCCACCAAUUCCAGACUCACUAAGACAUUACUUUUAGCUCAGCAUUUCUUGGAUGCCCAGGCAAAAGUAUGGAUGCAUAAAAUUAGAUAAUCCCUACAGUCUUAUGGAAUGUGGCUUUUGCUGGCCAAGCCUCUCUCGCUUACCACAGUGCAACUUCAAGAAUUAAUAUAUUCAAAAAAGGCCUGGAAUUUCCAAACAACAUUCUUAUUAAGGGGGCAGUGGCAUCCUCAUGCAAGCUGGUCUACUGGUGGCUGCCCCUGUGACCUGCUUCUGAAUGGCCAGGCAGGAAAAGUCUCCCACUGUGUUGCAUUUAAAGAAAAGAAAAAGAUGAAUUAAGUAAAAAGCUCUGCAAACAACUGAGUGUAAUUAUUGGAUAUGUAUAAACUUAUGCAUAUUUUCCUUUUUUUAAUUAUACUUUAAGUUCUAGGGCACAUGUGCACAACGUGCAGGUUAGUUACAUAUGUAUACAUGUGCCAUGUUGGUGUGCUGCACCCAUUAACUCGUCAUUUAACAUUCGGUAUAUCUCCUAAUGCUAUCCCUCCCCCCUCCCCCCACCCCACAACAGGCCCUGGUAUGUGAUGUUCCCCUUCCUGUGUCCAUGUGUUCUCAUUGUUCAAUUCCC
rnacentral:lncRNA from 1 species